rnacentral:rRNA from 1 species
UACGCACGCUGGCGGCGUGCUUAACACAUGCAAGUCGAACGGAAAGGCCCUGCUUUUGUGGGGUGCUCGAGUGGCGAACGGGUGAGUAACACGUGAGUAACCUGCCCUUGACUUUGGGAUAACUUCAGGAAACUGGGGCUAAUACCGGAUACGAGCUCCUGCUGCAUGGUGGGGGUUGGAAAGUUUCGGCGGUUGGGGAUGGACUCGCGGCUUAUCAGCUUGUUGGUGGGGUAGUGGCUUACCAAGGCUUUGACGGGUAGCCGGCCUGAGAGGGUGACCGGCCACAUUGGGACUGAGAUACGGCCCAGACUCCUACGGGAGGCAGCAGUGGGGAAUAUUGCACAAUGGGCGGAAGCCUGAUGCAGCAACGCCGCGUGCGGGAUGACGGCCUUCGGUUUGUAAACCGCUUUCGCCUGUGACGAAGCGUGAGUGACGGUAAUGGGUAAAGAAGCACCGGCUAACUACGUG